GGCGUGUAUGGACAAGGACACUUCCUGUAAGAAAUGGGUCCUAGUUCAACGCAAUAAUACACAAUACUUAACACAAAAUGAACAUUUUCCACUAGGCAAUUUACUUUAUGAGCACCGUCAUUUUUAGACCAUUUUCAUGCCUUUAAAUCCAGGGAAGACAUUUGCUUUGUUUCUCAGCUUAUAGCAGCGGUGUUCGCAGUGGAUGGUACAGUACGUAAAGCUAUCACAUCAUUGCAACGGAUUGGAAAUUCAACAGACUUGAGUACAACUGCGCAGGUCAGGGUCCCACGGAAAAUACAACUGACUGUGCAGCCACUGAAGCUACGGCAGUAAUGAGCACCUCUGGGGCACGCCGAAGGAGAAUUCCAUUCCCUCGGGAGACCGCGGCAUCGUUCUGCUGGUUCAUCCAAGUAUUAAGUGAGCGCAAGGUGGACGAACCUGAACUUGGAUCUACCCAUCGUCGGAAUAACAUUGCCGAGAUUUCUCACGAUAGAUCCUCUAUGUCAGGGGUCCCAAACCCCCGGGCCGCGGACCGAUACCGGUCCGUGGCCUGUUAGGAACCGGGCCGCACAGCAGCAGCAGGAGGUGAGAGCGCCCCGCGGGACCACCUCGAGGACCAUCGCGGAUCACUGAUGGUGGUGGUGGUGUUGCCGGGACCGCACUUUGAGAGCUACUGGGUU